UGGCUCAGAUUGAACGCUGGCGGAAUGCUUUACACAUGCAAGUCGAGCGGCAGCGCGGGGCAACCUGGCGGCGAGCGGCGAACGGGUGAGUAACACAUCGGAACGUACCCUGUUGUGGGGGAUAGCCCGGCGAAAGCCGGAUUAAUACCGCAUAAGACCUGAGGGUGAAAGCGGGGGACCGCAAGGCCUCGCGCGACAGGAGCGGCCGAUGGCGGAUUAGCUAGUUGGUGGGGUAAAGGCUCACCAAGGCGACGAUCCGUAGCUGGUCUGAGAGGAUGAUCAGCCACACUGGAACUGAGACACGGUCCAGACUCCUACGGGAGGCAGCAGUGGGGAAUUUUGGACAAUGGGGGCAACCCUGAUCCAGCCAUUCCGCGUGAGUGAAGAAGGCCUUCGGGUUGUAAAGCUCUUUCGGCAGGAACGAAACGGUGGGCUCUAACAUAGUCUGCUAAUGACGGUACCUGAAGAAGAAGCACCGGCUAACUACGUGCCAGCAGCCGCGGUAAUACGUAGGGUGCGAGCGUUAAUCGGAAUUACUGGGCGUAAAGCGUGCGCAGGCGGUUUCGUAAGACAGAUGUGAAAUCCCCGGGCUUAACCUGGGAACUGCGUUUGUGACUGCGAGACUGGAGUGUGGC
rnacentral:rRNA from 1 species